rnacentral:rRNA from 1 species
AGAGUUUGAUCAUGGCUCAGGACGAACGCUGGCGGCGUGCUUUACCCAUGCAAGUCGGACGGUCCAGCAAUGGACAGUGGCAGACGGCUGAGUAACGCGUGAGUACCUAUCGGUCAGUGGGGGAUAGCCAUCCGAAAGGGUGGGUAAUACCGCGUACGAUCCUUCGGGAUGAAAGCAGAGAUGCGCUGAUUGAGGGGCUUGCGUCCCAUCAGGUAGUAGGUGAGGUGAAGGCUUACCUAGCCGAUGACGGGUAGCUGGUCUGAGAGGAUGAUCAGCCAGACUGGGACUGAGAGACGGCCCAGACUCCUACGGGGGGCAGCAGGGGGGGAUCUUGCACAAUGGGCGAAAGCCUGAUGCAGCGACGCCGCGUGAAGGAAGAAGGGUUUCGGCCUGUAAACUUCUUUUGAUGGGGACGAUGAUGACGGUACCCAUCGAAUAAGCCCCGGCUAACUACGUGCCAGCAGCCGCGGUAAUACGUAGGGGGCGAGCGUUGUCCGGAUUUACUGGGCGUAAAGAGCGCGUAGGCGGCAUGUUAAGUUGGCUGUGAAAGGCCCUGGCUCAACUGGGGUAUGUCGGCCAAGACUGGCAAGCUUGAGAGCGGUAGAGGGAAGUGGAAUUCCGGGUGUAGUGGUGAAAUGCGUAGAUAUCCGGAGGAACACCGGUAGCGAAGGCGGCUUUCUGGGCCGUUUCUGACGCUGAGGCGCGAAAGCGUGGGUAGCGAACUGAAUUAGAUACUCAGGUAGUCCACGCCCUAAACGAUGGACGCUAGGUGUAGGGGGUAUCGACCCCUCCUGUGCCGAAGCAAACGCAUUAAGCGUCCCGCCUGGGGAGUACGGCCGCAAGGCUAAACUCAAAUGAAUUGACGG